rnacentral:misc_RNA from 1 species
AGAGAGAGAGAGAGAGAGAGUACACAAAGGUCCACAACUUUCUCAGAAUCCAAGUAAAACAAGAAACAUUUAAGGUUAUUGUAUCAAUUACAAGUGAAAUGGAAAACCUAAACCAGUUUUUAUUUUGGUAAAACCUAUAUCCAAUUCAAGGACAAAUACAUCCAUUUAAUAGGAAAAAAAACAUAAAAUAAAAUAAAAUAAAAUA